rnacentral:misc_RNA from 1 species
GCAAACUUGGUCAUUUAGAGGAAGUAAAAGUCGUAACAAGGUUUCCGUAGGUGAACCUGCGGAAGGAUCAUUACUGAAGCUUCAGAAAGGGUUUGUUGCUGCCUCGUGAGAGGAUCGUGCACUCCUUUCGACCUUCUACUUAACCACCUGUGCACCUUUCAUAGGCUGUGGGAUGUCCCUUCACUGAAAAAUGUGGAUCUGAGAGCUAGUCCCUUGGGCUUGCUUUCAACGUUUUCACGGCCUAUGCUUUUCGUUACACACUUUUUGAACUGUAUUGAAUGUUAGCUUUAUGGGUUGUGAUGACCUAUAAAAUCAUAUACAACUUUCAGCAACGGAUCUCUUGGCUCUCGCAUCGAUGAAGAACGCAGC